AUAUUGCACAAUGGGCGAAAGCCUGAUGCAGCGACGCCGCGUGAGGGAUGACGGCCUUCGGGUUGUAAACCUCUUUCAGUAGGGAAGAAGCGAAAGUGACGGUACCUGCAGAAGAAGCGCCGGCUAACUACGUGCCAGCAGCCGCGGUAAUACGUAGGGCGCAAGCGUUAUCCGGAAUUAUUGGGCGUAAAGAGCUCGUAGGCGGUUUGUCGCGUCUGCCGUGAAAGUCCGGGGCUCAACUCCGGAUCUGCGGUGGGUACGGGCAGACUAGAGUGAUGUAGGGGAGACUGGAAUUCCUGGUGUAGCGGUGAAAUGCGCAGAUAUCAGGAGGAACACCGAUGGCGAAGGCAGGUCUCUGGGCAUUAACUGACGCUGAGGAGCGAAAGCAUGGGGAGCGAACAGGAUUAGAUACCCUGGUAGUCCAUGCCGUAAACGUUGGGCACUAGGUGUGGGGGACAUUCCACGUUUUCCGCGCCGUAGCUAACGCAUU
rnacentral:rRNA from 1 species